rnacentral:rRNA from 1 species
CCUAGGAAUCUGCCUGGUAGUGGGGGACAACGUUUCGAAAGGAACGCUAAUACCGCAUACGUCCUACGGGAGAAAGCAGGGGACCUUCGGGCCUUGCGCUAUCAGAUGAGCCUAGGUCGGAUUAGCUAGUUGGUGAGGUAAUGGCUCACCAAGGCUACGAUCCGUAACUGGUCUGAGAGGAUGAUCAGUCACACUGGAACUGAGACACGGUCCAGACUCCUACGGGAGGCAGCAGUGGGGAAUAUUGGACAAUGGGCGAAAGCCUGAUCCAGCCAUGCCGCGUGUGUGAAGAAGGUCUUCGGAUUGUAAAGCACUUUAAGUUGGGAGGAAGGGCAGUAAGCUAAUACCUUGCUGUUUUGACGUUACCGACAGAAUAAGCACCGGCUAACUCUGUGCCAGCAGCCGCGGUAAUACAGAGGGUGCAAGCGUUAAUCGGAAUUACUGGGCGUAAAGC